rnacentral:rRNA from 1 species
UACAGAGCGGGCAAGCGUUGUUCGGAAUUACUGGGCGUAAAGGGCGCGUAGGCGGCCUGCUAAGUCGAACGUGAAAUCCCUGGGCUCAACCCAGGAACUGCGUCCGAUACUGGUUGGCUUGAAUCCGGGAGAGGGAUGUGGAAUUCCAGGUGUAGCGGUGAAAUGCGUAGAUAUCUGGAGGAACACCGGUGGCGAAGGCGACAUCCUGGACCGGCAUUGACGCUGAGGCGCGAAAGCCAGGGGAGCAAACGGG